GGCUGAAUUGACACUGAGACGCGAAAGCGUGGGUAGCGAACGGGAUUAGAAACCCCGGUAGUCCACGCCGUAAACGAUGCACACUAGAUGUCCGUAGCGGAAGCUAUGGGUGUCGAAGCUAACGCGAUAAGUGUGCCGCCUGGGGAGUACGGUCGCAAGGCUAAAACUCAAAGGAAUUGACGGGGGCCCGCACAAGCAGCGGAGCGUGUGGUUUAAUUCGAGGCUACGCGAAGAACCUUACCUAGGCUUGAUAUAAGUAGUACGGAAGCGAAAGCAGAAGGACCCUUCGGGGAGCUUAUACAGGUGCUGCAUGGUUGUCGUCAGCUCGUGCCGUGAGGUGUUCGGUUAAGUCCGCAAACGAGCGCAACCCACGUCGUUAGUUACAAGUGUCUAACAAGACAGCCCGUGACAAACGGGAGGAAGGUGGGGAUGACGUCAAGUCAGCAUGGCCUUUAUAUCCUGGGCUACACACACGCUACAAUGGCCAGUACAAUGGGUCGCUAAGUCGUAAGACGGAGCCAA
rnacentral:rRNA from 1 species